UCAUCUCGUCCUUAUUUGAGUGUCGUUUUGUUUUGCCCUCGUGAUCUUACUAAAGUUAGAUCAUCAAGAUCAUUACGAAAUUUUUCAUAGCUUGAGCUGUCUUUUUGUACUCGUGUAUUAAAACAUUCCUUGUUAUAGUCAGGGAUUGGGAUAGAAUUGCUGUGCAAUUUUGUUGGUUGCUUCGAUUUUAAUUUUACUACUGUAGCUAUUGACUGUAAUGUGCAAACCUGCAAACUUGCGAAAUCACAAGCUUCACGAAAAGACCAUUUCUGAUCCUCAUAACCUCAACCUUGGGCGAUAGUACCUGGUGCUGCUGUAGAAAUUAAAGCAUCUUUUACAUACUCAUACAGCACCUGAUUAACUAGAUUCAAAGUUUCCAAUUUUAAUAUCAAGAUAUUCUAAUUCUGGAAAAAUGUUGAUUCUUUUCUAUUAAAUGUAUCUUAUUCUACAGUGGUAGUACUGGACCACCUACUUUUUAUUCGUUUCAGAGUAAAAGCUCAAAGUUGUCCCUUGACUAUUAAUAAAUGCCCAAUUUAGUCUCAUGCUUUCAUAAUGACCCAAUUUAAUCCCCCACAUAUUAGAAAAUGUCUCAAUUUAAUCCUAAUGCCAAAAAUAACAGGUAAAAUUAAUCUCAAUAGUUAAAUAUGACGGCAUUUUGGAUAUUAUGAUAUUUAUUAUUUAUCAUAUUAAAACAAAUACAAAAAUCAUAGUAGAAGUUAAUCAAUUAAAUAAUAAUAUAGUGAAUAAUUAAUAAAUGUGAUUAAUAUUCAUUAUAAUUUUUAUUUAUUUUAAUAUGAUAAAUAAUAAAAUAUAUAAAAAUAAUAAUAUAAUCUCACAUACACUCUAAUACCCAAAAUACCAUCACAUUUAACUAUUAGGUUUAACUUUAACGGUUACUUUUAGCCUUGGGAUCAAAUUGAGAUAUUUUCUAAUAAUCAGUAAACUAAAUUGGGGAAUUAUGAAAAUCUGGACUAAAUUGGCCCUUUACUUAUAGUCGGGGGAUUAUUUUGAACUUUUACUUUAUUCGUCCACAUAUAUGAAGAUUUGCAAAGAAAUUUACUAUGUUCUACGUAAUAUUCUAAGAAAAAGUGUAGGUCUUCAUAAGCUCCAGCAUUCUUUGUUUUAGUAAAUAUAUGUCUUCUGUAAUACUUCAUAUUUUUGUUUGUCUUUCUUCACCAGCUUUUAGUGGUCUCCAAAUCUUGCCGGCCUUCGUGUACAUCUUAAGAAGAAUGUCAGUUGCUGCAUAAUAUUUUCCAACAAGGAUCCUCAAUUUCUUUUUGGAAGUUUUUUAAUGAAUUAGAGUCAUUCUUUUAUUUGUUUUCUCUUUUAACAGUUCCCCUUGAUACUCCCAUGUAUACCUUUAUUUUCAACUUUCAAUCAUAUCUUCAUUCUGCAUUAAUGUCGACACAUUUUGAUUGAAUAUGAUCAAAAUUGGAAAAAAUAUGCUCUUAGUUCUCUCAUUCAUCUAUAUUAGUUUUAAGAGGGAAAAGUUGUUUACAAAAUUUCGAGCAACGGUAAAUAUUUUUUUCUUCUCUCAUUUCUUUUUUUUCUUAUAAAAUUUUUUCAACUUUGUUGAUAAAUUAAGUUGUUAUUCAAAUUCAGUUGCUUUGUUAUUGGCGUUAUUAUUUUCAUUAUAGUUUUGCCAACAGCCAUCUCAAAGAUGCUCAAUUUGGAGUUAGCAAGUUGUUGAAGAUAGCCAAGAAUAUUGGAAAAGAAACGCAUCCGUCUUGUCAAGAAACUUCCUGUUGCUUGCGAAAUGCUGGAGUGAUAGCCUGCAAAAAGGCCAACAUUCGGGGAAAUUAUUUUUCGGCUAUCUUCAAUCCAGAGAAACAUAUUGCUCAGAGCAAGUUGGAAGGUUUCUAAUCAUCUGGGGUUGUGGGAGCUAUAAAGACUACAAGGUUCUCUUCUUUUAUUUUUCGCAUUUAUAUUCCUAUUUCUUUGUGCCUUUUUGCAGGAAGUAUGAGCUGAAAGAAUUAAAGUGGAUCUUCCUUUUUUGGGUGCUGUUUACUUACAGCCCGUGUUUUUCUGAUUGUUAUUUUUGUAAUCUUAGGACAAGGAACUACCGGCUCUUAGGGGUUUUUAUUUACUUUUUGAUUGUAGCUCUUCGGAGCAGUAGCGAGCUGGUGGGUCCUUUUAAGGAUGGUGUAACCGAAUUUUGAUAUUAACACGUAGGCCCCUCUGUGGGUUUAUCCUUC